UACGUAGGAGGCGAGCGUUGUCCGGAGUUACUGGGCGUAAAGGGUGCGCAGGCGGUGCGCCAAGUUUGCGGUGAAAUCUCCUGGCUUACCUGGGAGGGUGCCGUGAAAACUGGCGCACUUGAGGCUCGGGGAGGGGCGUGGAAUUCCGGGUGGAGCGGUGAAAUGCGUAGAGAUCCGGAGGAACACCGACGGCGUAGGCAGCGCCCUAAACGAGUUCUGACGCUCAGGCACGAAAGCUGGGGGAGCAAACAGG
rnacentral:rRNA from 1 species